CCGAAGACCCCGGCGUACCCUGCCCGCUUUGCCCGACAUCUAAUCCAGCUCUGGAUUCUCACUUCACUCUCACUUCAUCAUAAUUCGACUUGUGCCUGUCAUUACAUGAACGAACACAAAUUUUCUUCCUACCUCUAUGACUUCUCGUCAGGGUCCUCAAGGAAUUUCUGGAGAAAGAGGACCUGAUGGACCAUUGGGUUCGAUGGGCCCUCAAGGGUCACCAGGGCCCCAGGGCAUGACUGGAGCCCCGGGCGAAAAGGGUUUCACGGGGAAACCUGGCAAGGAAGGACCACAGGGCCCAGUUGGCAUGUAUGUAAGUGAU